GAUGAACGCUGGCGGCGUGCUUGACACAUGCAAGUCGAACGAAGCACUUUAACUUGAUUUCUUCGGAAUGAUUGUUCUUGUGACUGAGUGGCGGACGGGUGAGUAACGCGUGGGUAACCUGCCUCAUACAGGGGGAUAACAGUUAGAAAUGACUGCUAAUACCGCAUAAGCGCACAGUGCCGCAUGGUACAGUGUGAAAAACUCCGGUGGUAUGAGAUGGACCCGCGUCUGAUUAGCUAGUUGGUGAGGUAACGGCUCACCAAGGCGACGAUCAGUAGCCGACCUGAGAGGGUGACCGGCCACAUUGGGACUGAGACACGGCCCAAACUCCUACGGGAGGCAGCAGUGGGGAAUAUUGCACAAUGGGCGAAAGCUUGAUGCAGCGACGCCGCGUGAAUGAAGAAGUAUUUCGGUAUGUAAAGUUCUAUCAGCAGGGAAGAUAAUGACGGUACCUGACUAAGAAGCACCGGCUAAAUACGUGCCAGCCGCCGCCGUAAUAC
rnacentral:rRNA from 1 species